GAAGGCAGACACGACGAAGGACGGCGCAGAGGCGAGCCUUUGCGACGCGUGUGGCGCGACUCACGCGUGCCGCGACGAGGAGAAAUGCUGGAGCA
rnacentral:sRNA from 1 species